rnacentral:lncRNA from 1 species
GGAGCGGGGCGCGGCUGCCUCCGGCUCCGGUCCGGUCCGGUCCGGUCCGGCCCAGACCCGAGUCUGGCGGACCCAAGUAGGCGAGCGAGCGACUGACCGUGCGCUGAGGUGGGCACCGCGGCCCGUUUCGGUCGCAAGCUGCUGAGGCUUCUUUGUAGGAUCGAGCACGCCCUGCACUCGAGAGUCUGUGAAGUCGCUCGCCCGGGGCUUUGGUGGGCGAGGGGAGCUCUUGUGAGUCAGUGGCACUGGAGGGCUUCGAACCCGGGUCCAGGAUACCGGUCUCGGCGGCGGUGUCCAGGCGCCAAGCAGCCUAGGGAGCGCUGUCGCCCUGGGCGUAUUCUCGAGAUGUCAACUUGUGUGACAGCUCGCCCAUUCUAUGGACGUGGACCCUAGGCCCGGAGAACCGGGCGAGAGAAAUUGUGCCGGAGGUUCGUACGGACACGGCGCCGGAACCUACUGGCUUCCCAGGGCCCUUCCCGCACCCCGGUAGCGGGUCAGGGGCUUUGCUUAGGACCACGUCUCCCCAGCUUCCGUCCCUCGCGCUGCACCUUUACAAGUCCGCCUACAUCUGUACUAGAUACCAAAUGUUAAAUGUUUUUCUUUAAACUGACUCUGACCCUCCCUCCUUAAAUGCAUUUGUUUAAGGCGGAAAUUUUGAACCCCAAACGGUAUAAUGGAAAGCCAGUUAUUUCUCUAACGCUCAUAAAAAAAAUAAAUACCUGUCUAUUAAAAUAAA